AUUGAACGCUGGCGGCAGGCCUAACACAUGCAAGUCGAGCGGAUGACGGGAGCUUGCUCCUUGAUUCAGCGGCGGACGGGUGAGUAAUGCCUAGGAAUCUGCCUGGUAGUGGGGGACAACGUUUAGAAAGGAACGCUAAUACCGCAUACGUCAUACGGGAGAAAGCAGGGGACCUUCGGGCCUUGCGCUAUCAGAUGAGCCUAGGUCGGAUUAGCUAGUUGGUGGGGUAAUGGCUCACCAAGGAGACGAUCCGUAACUGGGCUGAGAGGAUGAUCAGUCACACUGGAACUGAGACACGGUCCAGACUCCUACGGGAGGCAUCAGUGGGGAAUAUUGGACAAUGGGCGAAAGCCUGAUCCAGCCAUGCCGCGUGUGUGAAGAAGGUCUUCGGAUUGUAAAGCACUUUAAGUUGGGAGGAAGGGCAGUAAGUUAAUACCUUGCUGUUUUGACGUUACCGACAGAAUAAGCACCGGCUAACUCUGUGCCAGCCGCCGCAGUAAAAC
rnacentral:rRNA from 1 species